GACGAACGCUGACGGCGUGCUUAACACAUGCAAGUCGAACGGUGAAGCGCCUUCCUUUUUGGUGGGUGUGGAUGAGUGGCGAACGGGUGAGUAACACGUGAGUAACCUGCCCCCUUCUUCUGGAUAACCGCAUGAAAGUGUGGCUAAUACGGGAUAUUCUGGGUCUGUCGCAUGAUGGGUCUGGGAAAGAUAUUGUUUCGGUGGGGGAUGGGCUCGCGGCCUAUCAGCUUGUUGGUGGGGUGAUGGCCUACCAAGGCGGUGACGGGUAGCCGGCCUGAGAGGGUGGACGGUCACACUGGGACUGAGACACGGCCCAGACUCCUACGGGAGGCAGCGGUGGGGAAUAUUGCACAAUGGGCGCAAGCCUGAUGCAGCGACGCCGCGUGAGGGAUGGAGGCCUUCGGGUUGUGAACCUCUUUCGCCAGUGAAGCAGGCCUGCCUCGUUUGUGGGUGGGUUGACGGUAGCUGGAUAAGAAGCGCCGGCUAACUACGUG
rnacentral:rRNA from 1 species